AACGCUAAAUAACAACAAAGAAGAGGAGGAGCUUUUAACGGGAGUAUCGCCGGCAGAGAGAGAGAGAGAGAGAGAGAGAGAGAGAGAGAGAGAGAGAGAGAGGGGGGGGGGCUGAGACGGCACAGGAGCAUGCACUCGCGAUAUUUUGUGCCGCGGAAAAAGUAAAGUUCAGGGGCAGAAAAGGUCACAGAGGAAAGCCUUGUGUAUGUAGCUCUCCUCCUCCUCCUCCUCCUCCUCCUCCUCCUCCUCCUCUUCCUCCUCCUACUGAUUCUACUCUUGUUCUUCUCCGUCCCCUCCUCCUCCUCCUCCUCUUCAUCUCUCUUCCUCUGUUUUUCUCUCUGUGUUUAUCUGAAAGCAGGAUACUGACAGCCGUACCCUCCAGUGACAGCAACAGGUCGUUCAGGCUCUCUUUCUCUCUCUCGUACUAUCUCUCUUUUUCUUUGCAAGUCUGUCAGUAUGAAUCCCUGUCUGUCUGUCUGUCUAUCUGUAAGUCUGCCUGUCUGUCUAUCUAUCGGUCUUUUUCCCUGCAAGUCUGUCAGUAUGAAUGUCUAUGUCUGUCUAUCUGUAAGUCUGCCUGUCUGUCUAUCUAUCUAUGUCUUUUUCCCUGGAAGUCUGUCAGUAUGAAUGUCUAUGUCUGUCUAUCUGUAAGUCUGCCUGUCUGUCUAUCUAUCUAUGUCAUUUUCCCUGCAAGUCUGUCAGUAUGAAUAUCUAUGUCUGUCUAUCUGUAAGUCUGCCUGUCUGUCUAUCUAUCUAUCUGUCUUUUUCCCUGCAAGUCUGUUAGUAUGAAUGUCUACGUCUGUCUAUCUGUAAGUCUGCCUGUCUGUCUAUCUAUCCAUCUAUCUGUCUGUCUCUCGUAUGGCCUAUCUCCACCCACAAUGUCUAUACUACACCCCUUCGGCUUCACUGUAUAACUGCGAUGACUCCUUCUACACCCACAUCCCGAGUCUUGCACCGAGGACCUAACUAACGCUGCCCCUUUAAGACUCUCCUUUUGCCAACCGAUGAAACAGAACAGUGUAACCAACAACACCGGGGGGACGAGACUAAUGAUAACUCCUUUGAUACUCUCCUUUUGCUAACCGAUGAAACAUAACAGUGCAACCAACAACACCGGGGGACGAGACUAAUGAUAACUCCCUUGAUACUCUCCUUUUGCUUACCGAUGAAACAGAACAGUGCAACCAACAACACCGGGGGGACGAGACUAAUGAUAACUCCUUUGAUACUCUCCUUUUGCUUAGUGAUGAAACGGAACUCUGCAUCGUAACUUAUGACUGGUUAAAACUCAGCAUGUCCGAUAUCGUUGGCUGCGUGUGAUAAAUAUUCAAACUAUUUCGUAUAUGAGAGAUUGGAAUGUUUAUAAAGAACCCGGACACAUUCUUAUAUAACUCCCAAACAUGCCGCUUUGCACGAUGAUACGCCGUACGGGCACGUGAAAGACAAGCUUGUACCAAACACUCGUCAGAUUAUACUCCAGCAAACAACAGGCUUUACUUAAUAGCUUUUAUCUCAUUUCAGGUACAAAAAAAAAGACAAUUGGCUUUGUAAGUGGAACUGAAAUGUAUUUUAAUAAUUUAAUGGAUGUAAGUCACAUGGGUAAUAUUGGAUGUAGCGUGAAUUAUUACUGAAUGUGAGUCUACCGCAGGCUAUUUCCAAUAUUACCUAUGUCAUUUACAUCCAAUGAAUAAUUGAAAUAACUUUUAUUACCAUUUACAGAGGCAAUGUCUUUUUAUGGACCAGAAAUGAGAUAAAUAACAAGUUUAAAAAAAAAUCACUGUUCGUUCGAGUAUGAUCUGACGCGACUGUUUGAUACACGCUUGCCUUUUGGGAGUCUGUGUGGCAUACUGGUGAGGCAAAUAUGACUGUUUGGGAUUAUAAGGGGUGAGGGUUUAUUGCAUAUAUGAUAACUCAAAUAUAUCAUUCCAUAAAAAGGUUCAAUAUAUAUUACAACAGCUGACGUUCAUUAAAUCGCAAACUAUCGAUGCACGCGUCCACACCCACGCCCGCGAGUGGACAGAUGGAAUGAAAAUAACUGUAUCUGUCUGUAUAUCUACCUGUCUACUUUUCCGUAUCCGUCUGUCCGUCUGUAUCUUGGUAAAUGUUUGCCUUUCCGUCUAUUUUUAUGUCUGUCUAUCUCUGUUUGUAAGUGUCUGCCUGUCUGCCUAUCUAUCUCCAUCUAUCUAUCUGUCUGUACGUCUAUUUGUCAGUGCCUAGCUGUCUACUUUUAGGUAUGCCUCUGUCUGUCUGUAUCUUGGUAAAUAUCUGCCUGUCUGUCUAUUUUUUCUGUCUAUCUUUCUGUUUGCGUCUGGCUGUCUGUCUAUCUCUAUCUAUCUAUCUGUCUGUAUGUCGGUUUGUCUGUGCCCUUUUGUCUAUCUCUAUCUAUCUGUCUGCAUGCCUAUCUAUUCUCUCUUCCCUGGUCUGUCUCUUUUACAUACACAAUAUACAGUACGAAUGCUUGAAGACUCCAUUUCUAUAGCGCUGGGCAAGGUGUUUUAAUCUAUUCAUGAGUCAUCGGUGAAUAAACCAAGUCAUUCAUUCAUGGUAUAGAUGUGAAGUUAUUCAUAAGGAGUUGGUUAUGAUAUUCAGCGCAUUCGAGGGUGAAAAAGUGGAGUCAAGUCUUGUGUGUGAGUAAUCAGGUGUUUUUAAUCUAUUCAUGAGUCAUCGGUGAGUAAGCCAUAUCUCCUCAUCUUUGUACUGACAUCACCCUUUAAAUCUUCAUACUGACAUCACCCUUUAAAUCUUCAUACUGACAUCACCCUUUAAAUCCUCAUACUGACAUCACCCUUUAAAUCCUCAUACUGACAUCACCCUUUAAAUCCUCAUACUGACAUCACCCUUUAAAUCUUCAUACUGACAUCACCCUUUAAAUCCUCAUACUGACAUCACCCUUUAAAUCCUCAUACUGACAUCACCCUUUAAAUCUUCAUACUGACAUCACCCUUUAAAUCCUCAUACUGACAUCACCCUUUAAAUCUUCAUACUGACAUCACCCUUUAAAUCUUCAUACUGACAUCACCCUUUAAAUCCUCAUACUGACAUCACCCUUUAAAUCCUCAUACUGACAUCACCCUUUAAAUCUUCAUACUGACAUCACCCUUUAAAUCUUCAUACUGACAUCACCCUUUAAAUCCUCAUACUGACAUCACCCUUUAAAUCUUCAUACUGACAUCACCCUUUAAAUCCUCAUACUGACAUCACCCUUUAAAUCUUCAUACUGACAUCACCCUUUAAAUCCUCAUACUGACAUCACCCUUUAAAUCUUCAUACUGACAUCACCCUUUAAAUCUUCAUACUGACAUCACCCUUUAAAUCCUCAUACUGACAUCACCCACUCAUUUCCGAAAGCGUGGGUUGCUUAAGCGCAUUCCUAGCUGAGAAAUGGAGUCUUUUGUUGUGUGAGUAAUAAUGUUGGGGUCUUUUAUUCUUAUGGACAUCUUAAACAUCAUUUCCAUGCUUGCUCUGAGGCACUGUGAGGUGACAUAUGACGUGUGCCGAGGAUUUUGAGUUGUAAGUGUUGGAUCUCCUGGGCUUCCUUGAGUGGGUUGUGUCUGUCUUCCUCUCUAUCUAUCUAUCUAUCUACCUGUCUAUCUAUCUAUCUUUAGGGUCGUCAAAGUCGUCAUUAUGUUCACUUUUUUACGAGUCAAAGUCAUCAUCCUGUUCUGUCUAUUCUUUUACAAGCCUAAGUUCUCAUCCUCUUUCUUUUUUUCUGCUAAGACAAGACUCUCUUCCGUACAGUGUUCCUGGUGGGAGGCUGGCCAGUCCCCUGCUCUCAGCCAUACUAAAGUGGAGGGGUGGAAGGAAGGAAGGAGGUGAAGACAGGGCAGAGAAAAACACACAUAGUACAAAUUUAGUUCAGCCAAUUAGUCGCUUUGUUUACAUAUAAUCUGUGGGCAGCAUUAGGGGGCCGGGCAAACACAAUCCUCUACGGGUGUGUGGUGUGUUGUUGCAUUCGAGGACGGGUGUUCUUUAUUUCGUAUUCUCUCGUUUGUCUCUUGUUUGUCUCCGUCUCUCCCAGUGUCAAGUGCGGGGAGAGUGAGCGAGGGGUUGUGUAUCUUUAAUCUGUAUGUGUGUGUGUGUGUGUGUGUGCGUGUGUGUGUGUCAACGUUGCCAGAUUGUCGUACUCAGCCGCUUAUAUUUCCCGACUUCCUACCUCCAAACUGUCUUCUGGGCUCCGAUAACGAAACUCAUUUAUAGUUAUCGUUAAAAGAGUUAGAUCCUGAUGUUUCGUGGCAAUAUUUAGGCGUCAGAAACCGGUAAAUACUAUGCUCUGAGUACGACAAUCUGGCAACUGUGGUGUGUGUGCGUGUGUGUGUGUGCUAAUACCCAACGGUCUCAACACACACAAAAGGCAAAGGAUUACACUACACAAUAUCUCCUUUACCGUACAUUAACUUAACCAAUACAAGGAAACAUUAAAACAUCAUCAAAUUUCAACAAUAGAACACUGAAAGAACCUAACCUGGGACUUCAAGACAAUACGAUAAACACUAAUAACUACUUCAGAGCUUCAAGUCACGGCUCAGUUCUUCCGCUGGGCCAAGUAUUGUAAGGGUGACUUAAACAUACCCACAAGUUAACACCAUUUAGUUACACAUCUAAGCGAAUAUUUCAAGGCGUGUUUACAGUUGAUAAGAGAUGUAAUGCUGCCCACAGAAGCUUAUUUUGGGGUUUGUUUAGGCUGGGUCGUGUUAGGUGGGUGGCAGUGGGGUGAGUGUUGCAGCAGGCAGUUUUUAAGGGGGUUUAAGACAAAGGUGCAUGUACGGGGUAGUUCCACACUGUUGCUGGUGCAGGAGGAGAGACUGAAUGAAGGGGGUGAUUUGUGAAAAGGGGAAAUAUAAGUGGGAGGUGUGAAAAAAAGGUAAAAAAUUGGACCAAAAUGAGAAGAAAACGUUGGACAAAAACAUGGAAAAAACACGAGCUUUAAAAUUUGGACUGGUCAAAAAUAUAGGAAAACCGUGAGUGUAAAAAUGACAAAAAGAUGAGAUAUGAAAAAGUGUAAAAAUUGGACAAAAACGAGAAAACAUUGAACACAAAUAUGGAAAAAACACGAGCUAUAAAAUUUGGA